AAGUCAGGAGUCAUGAAGCAGCUUGGCUGAUUUUUGGAUUCUCUACUGAUUGUGUUUCUGCCGCAGGAGCAAACGCAGCCUCCAGAAACGACUGUGGAAAAGACUGCAAUGGGACAAAGUAUGACACACAAGAAGCUGCUUGCUGUGGAAACAAACUUUACCCAGGGGCGAGUCUGUCUUGUUGUGGAAAGGAACCUUACAAUCCUGAAAAAGCAACCUGUUGCAAAGUACAAGACGGAAACACUCUCAGAGCCAAUGUUACUCAUGGUCUGAGUGAAAAGGUGUCCAACUGCUGUGGGCUGAAGCCCUACAACCCUGUCAAUGAAGUAUGCUGUCAAUCAACCAUCACUGCAAAACCUGGACUAAUGGCUGAAUGUUGCGGUAAAGAGGCUUUUGCCAAGGACAAGCAAUUGUGUUGCGGUGCAAGUGAUAAUAAGAAGAUUCUGGUGAGAAAUUCCAGUUUCCACCGGUGCUGCGGGCACAACCAGUAUGAUAACAGGACUCAGUGCUGCUGUGAGAAUGAAGGUGUUCUGGAGGUACAACCGAAGGAUUCAUCUUGCUGUGACAAGAGCUCCACUACAGGAGUGCAUAAUGUAGGAAUUCUGCAUUGUGGUCCGAAUGAUAAUAAGAAGAGUCUGGUGAAGAAUUCCACUUUCCACCAGUGCUGCGGUCACAACCAGUAUGACAACAGGACUCAGUGCUGCUGUGUGAAUGAAGGUGUUCUGGAGGUACAACCGAAGCAUUCAUCUUGCUGUGACAAGAGCUCCACUACAGGAGUGCAUAAUGUAGGAAUUCUGCAUUGUGGUCCGAAUGAUAAUAAGAAGAGUCUGGUGAGAAAUUCCACUUUCCACCGGUGCUGCGGUCACCACCAGUAUGACAACAGGACUCAGUGCUGCUGUGAGAAUGAAGGUGUUCUGGAGGUACAACCGAAGCAUUCAUCUUGCUGUGACAAGAGCUCCACUACAGGAGUGCAUAAUGUAGGAAUUCUGCAUUGUGGUCCGAAUGAUAAUAAGAAGAGUCUGGUGAAGAAUUCCACUUUCCACCAGUGCUGCGGUCACCACCAGUAUGACAACAGGACUCAGUGCUGCUGUGAGAAUGAAGGUGUUCUGGAGGUACAACCGAAGCAUUCAUCUUGCUGUGACAAGAGCUCCACUACAGGAGUGCAAAAUGUGGGAAUUCUGCAUUGUGGUCCGAAUGAUAAUAAGAAGAGUCUGGUGAGGAAUUCCACUUUCCACCAGUGCUGCGGUCACCACCAGUAUGACAACAGGACUCAGUGCUGCUGUGAGAAUGAAGGUUUUCUGGAGGUACAACCGAAGCAUUCAUCUUGCUGUGCAAAGGAGUCAGCUAACCCUGAAGACACAUGAGCUCCAACACUUUUGCACUGAACCAAACACACAUCUCUGUGGGUCGACAUGUUACAAUCCAAAGACGCAUCGUUGCUGUGAGAGACACCAAAAGCCUUUUUGGUUCUGCGCCUCAGGUCAAAGCAAGGCCAGGGUGUAUGACCCACGUAUAGAAGUCUGCCGUGAUGGAUCCGUAUUUCAAUGCAAGCCGUGGCUAGAUCAAUUUUAUGGCAGCCCGGGACAACACUGCUGUGGGACGGAAAUUUACCGGCCUCGUACUGAGAUCUGCUGCAAUGGACACAGACACCCCAAAUCAGAAAACCUUCACUGCUGUGGGGUCAAAGCCUACAACAUUAAAGACCCACAGAUGAAGUGCUGUGCAGGAACACUGUACAAUCUGACAUCAUUAGACAAGCAUGGAGGGGACGCUCAGUGCUGCGGAUCCAUCCUGCAAAAGCCACAGGAUAUUUGCUGCUCAAGCCAGGAAAAAGAGGUGCUUUACUCUGUCAAGACAGGAUUUGGAUGCUGUGGUCACCUCUAUUACAACACCAGCCUGUGCUCAUGCUGUGCGGAGAGGCUGAGAAGAAUCCAUGAACCAGGAAAGGAUCAGAGAAACAUGAUGCAUGGAUCCAGACUUCUAUCUUUGAAUAAUCUAAACACAAGUGAUCUCUGCAAAGAAAUGUACAUUGGGACUGUGGAAAGUGUGUCUGUGAAGAGCGUUGUGUUCAGGAAUGUGCUAUGGGUUCAUGGGAAAUAUUCCAACGUGACAGCUCUGCCUUUGCAUCACAUCUUGGACAUAGAUGAUCACUGCAAAUCACCUAAACUGUUUCUUGGGAAGACCUACAUCUUUAACAACGUUAAUAUUUUCACUGAUUUCAACCAUGACUCUGUUCUUCAGUCGCUCCAUUUCAUUUUUUAUAAAUGUUCAUCUUAGAUCACCACUGUCUGAUCUAUGUAUGGUCAGUUAUUAGCUAUUCCCUUGUUUUUGUCUUAGAACAAGUAAUUAAUUUUUAUUUACUCAGUGCUGGUUUUCUUACUCUAAAAUAGUGCUACACUAAGAGUAAUGCAUAGGGGUUUUUUAUCCUCAGAAGAAUGUACUGUUAAAGUACUCAUUACAGGGAUGUUCUCUUACAUGGUCUAUUAACAAUAUAACACUGAACCUUAGAAAUGCCCAUUAAUUUGUAAAACUCUACCCUAAAAGGAAAGACCAUUGAAGCUUAACAUUUGGGCACUUUGCUGGUGUAAGCAUAAAAUCAAAGAACCAGCCAUAUUUCUAUCACACAUUUUAUUUUUACAUUAGUUAUUGUUGUGCAAGCACACAUGAAAAUGUUUUAAAAUGUGAUCUUUUUAAUCUUUUUGUUACCUAAAUAAUUGAAGAACAUGUAACUCAAUUGAAUUAAUUCAUUAACUGAAAUAUGUUUACUCAAUAAUGCAUUAUAGAAAAAAUUAACUUGAUUAGGGAUUGCAUUACUUUUCAACUGUUUAAAUUUAAAAAAUCCAGAAUUAGUUAUUAGUGAUAUUACUUACAAGUUGCUAUCAGUAAUGCAUUAAAUGUUCAACGCUCAUUUCCAUCCAAACCAUGUUGCUCUGUUUUUGAACGCAUCCCAAAAUGUGUGCUCGGUAAUUACUACUGUUACACAGCUAAUUAGUGCACAGUGUUGUUAACUUAUACAUGCAGUAAUGCAAUAUGACCAUUAUCUUUCAAAGUCUUAAAAAGCUAAAGUAGUAACUAGGAUAUCCAAGCUAGUGUUGGUUUGAAAUUAACAGUAGCUAACACCUUAGCUAUCAGUGUAACAGGAAGCAAGGCAUGCAAGAAUGUUAGCAUACAGCUUAACGGUCACAUAAGCUAAACUGCUAUCAGCUAAUAUUGUUUGUCAUUUGAAAUUUUUGUGACUGUUAUUUCUAUGCCUCUUUUUUGCACUGAACUAAAUUGUAAAUGGCAACUAUUUGCACUUUUUGAACCAUACAAUUGAAUGUAUAAAUGUACUGUAAAGCAUGAUUUAUUUGAAAGAUAAAGCUUGUAACUGUCAAAUGGUUAGUUGACAAUACCAUUAUUAUAAGCACCCCAGUUCUCACUGAUCCCUCUAAAAAUGCAAUAUUUCUGUUUCUUUGUAAGUACCUACUUUUAAUCACCUUGACCCAAGUUAUUUUUAUAUAUGUGACUUUCGGGAAGAUGUUUGGCAUUUAUUGUACUGUGUCUUUACUAAAUUGGUAAGAACAUACCUUUAAGCUACUAACAGGACAAGCUCAUGAUAUACAGUAUAUAUAUUAUAUAUUAUAUUGCAUGUUUAUAUUUAAUAUUUAAUAGCACCUCCUGUAUUAUUAAGUUUUAAAUAAAUAAGAAGAUAAGAAUAAUUGAAUGUGUGUGUGAUUUUUUUUAUUACUUUUAUUACUUAUUAUUUUAUUUAUUACUUUAUUACUUUUUAUUACAUAACAAUUUAUUGGACUAUAUAUACAUAACUAUUACUACAUUUUAUAUACACAUUGUUUAUUUGUAUAUUUGUAGAUAUUCAACAGAAUUAGAUAAUAAAUCAAUACUCUGUGCUU
ensembl:lncRNA